rnacentral:rRNA from 1 species
UACGAAGGGGGCUAGCGUUGCUCGGAAUUACUGGGCGUAAAGGGCGCGUAGGCGGACAGUUUAGUCAGAGGUGAAAGCCCAGGGCUCAACCUUGGAAUUGCCUUUGAUACUGGCUGUCUUGAGUUCGGGAGAGGUGAGUGGAAUGCCGAGUGUAGAGGUGAAAUUCGUAGAUAUUCGGCGGGACACCAGUGGCGAAGGCGACUCACUGGCCCGAUACUGACGCUGAGGCGCGAAAGCGUGGGGAGCAAACAGG